rnacentral:rRNA from 1 species
AACGAACGCUGGCGGCAUGCCUAACACAUGCAAGUCGAACGAGACCUUCGGGUCUAGUGGCGCACGGGUGCGUAACGCGUGGGAACCUGCCUUUAGGUUCGGAAUAACUCAGAGAAAUUUGAGCUAAUACCGGAUAAUGUCUUCGGACCAAAGAUUUAUCGCCUUUAGAUGGGCCGCGUAAGAUUAGCUAGUUGGUGGGGUAAAGGCCUACCAAGGCGACGAUCUUUAGCUGGUCUGAGAGGAUGAUCAGCCACACUGGGACUGAGACACGG